CCUUCGGGUACGAAUUGAGCAGGUGGUGCAUGGUUGUCGUCAGCUCGUGUCGUGAGAUGUUGGGUUAAGUACCCGCAACGAGCGCAACCCUUGUGUUUAGUUUGCAAACAGGUCAAGCUGUGCACUCUAGACAGACUGCCGUGGACAACACGGAGGAAGGUGGGGAUGACGUCAAAUCAUCAUGCCCCUUAUGAUCUGGGCUACACACGUGCUACAAUGGCCGGUACAACGGGCAGCGAAGGAGCGAUCCGGAGCGAAUCCUAAAAAGCCGGUCCCAGUUCGGAUUGCAGGCUGAAACUCGCCUACAUGAAGUUGGAGUUGCUAGUAAUCGCGAAUCAGAAUGUCGCGGUGAAUGCGUUCCCGGGUCUU
rnacentral:rRNA from 1 species